rnacentral:lncRNA from 1 species
GAAGAUGAGGGAUUUGGGUAUAGGGUUGUGAUCGAUACUUAGUUUUUGGGACGUGUUAGUGCAAUAAUGUUUGUGAGAAGUGGUUCUUCUAUUUACACUGCUGGUGCUGAAGGGAUGAUUUGUGAAAUCGAUUCACUGACAGCAGCAAAGGUUUCUGUUAAGUCUGGAGUUUGUAUAUAUUGAAGUUAGUACAGCAAAUCUUGGUAUUAUUGCUGGUCUUGCUGCUCUAAUUUUGGGAUCGAAGAAGUUACCUGAAUUGGGCAAGAGGUUAUGAAGACUAUCAAGAGUUUCUAACAGUCAAGGGAGAUUAGAGUUGCUUGGAGAGUGGAGAGCUAAAAGUGGUGUUUUCUUGAUUGGCUAGACAAAUUUGUCAUUCGGCUCUGAGUUCUUUGCUUUGGUUGCACGCACUAAAAGGUAGUUUCUGUAUUUUAACAUAGCAUUCAAUAUGCAACUCUUUUUAAAUUUUCAGCAACUGAAAUAUUCAGGGCUGCCACUUGAAUUAUUCCUAUUACUGUUCCUUUUAUUUUGAGAGUUUCCAUAAUAUCCAAGAUGGUUAACCUGAUAUUGCAUUAAAUAUUUUCUUCAUACCUGUAAGUGUUGAGAUGAAUUUUUGUCAAAUCUUUUAAGUCCUUUAUGUAUCAAAGUUGUGUUAUUUCGAUUUCUGCUAUGAUCUUGGCUAAAUGUGGAAUGAAGUAAUUUUUACAUGUGGGUGCAUAUAAUUGAUUCUUCGAAUGUUAUUCAGAGACAUGACUAACACAAAAGCUCUAACUUAAAAUGACAAAGAGUUAAAGUUCUUCUCAAUUCCAUGUUAUUCUAUUACUUUUACUUUUAAUAGUCUACAUGCAUUUGAUGUCCAUGUCCAACAAUCAAUGAGAGAUUAAAGUUAUUGAUAAUAAAGACUUUGUGGUAAGUAGGCUACAUAUUAGUAAUCCCGUCUUAUAGAAUUCCUCGGGUAGAUAUAGAGGUAGAACUACUAAGCUGUUAUUUACCAAUGAAAAUGUACAAGUGAAUUCUAUCUAAUCUG